UACGGAGGGGGCAAGCGUUGUUCGGAUUUACUGGGCGUAAAGGGCGCGUAGGCGGCUUUGUAAGUUACUUGUGAAAGCUCUGAGCUUAACUCAGAACUGCCAAGUAAAACUGCAGAGCUAGAGUGCAGAUGGGGCAACUGGAAUUCUUGGUGUAGCGGUGAAAUGCGUAGAUAUCAAGAGGAACACCUGAGGCGAAGGCGGGUUGCUGGGCUGACACUGACGCUGAGGCGCGAAAGCUAGGGGAGCAAACAGG
rnacentral:rRNA from 1 species